rnacentral:rRNA from 1 species
UACGAAGGGGGCUAGCGUUGCUCGGAAUCAUUGGGCGUAAAGCGCGUGUAGGCGGCUGGGACAGUCUGCUCUGAAAAGCCCGAGGCUCAACCUCGGGAGGCGGAGUGGAUACUGCCCAGCUCGGAGUGCCGGUAAGAGGAGUGUGGGAAUUCCUGGUGUAGCGGUGAAAUGCGGCAGAAUAUCAGGAGGAACACCUAUGG